rnacentral:piRNA from 1 species
AGCAUCACUAUAAGACACUAUACAUUGGUUG